AGGACGAACGCUGGCGGCGUGCUUAACACAUGCAAGUCGAACGGUAAGGCCCCUUCGGGGGUACACGAGUGGCGAACGGGUGAGUAACACGUGGGUAAUCUGCCCUGCACUUCGGGAUAAGCCUGGGAAACUGGGUCUAAUACCGGAUAUGAACUCCUGCCGCAUGGUGGGGGUUGGAAAGUUUUUCGGUGCAGGAUGAGCCCGCGGCCUAUCAGCUUGUUGGUGGGUAAUGGCCUACCAAGGCGACGACGGGUAGCCGGCCUGAGACGGGUGACUCGGCCACGACGUGGGACUGAGACACGCCAG
rnacentral:rRNA from 1 species